rnacentral:rRNA from 1 species
ACGGAGGGGGCAAGCGUUGUUCGGAAUUACUGGGCGUAAAGGGCGCGUAGGCGGUUAGGUAAGUCAGUUGUGAAAGCCCCGAGCUUAACUUGGGAAUUGCCAUUGAAACUGCCUAGCUAGAGUUUUGGAGAGGAAAGUGGAACUCGCAGUGUAGCGGUGAAAUGCUUAGAUAUUGGGAGGAACACCGGUGGCGAAGGCGGCUUACUGGACAAAAACUGACGCUGAGGCGCGAAAGCGAGGGGAGCAAACAG